GCCGCGGGUGGAAGCGGCGGCCACGGCGGUGGCGGCAGCCGCGGCGUAGGAGGAGGAGGAAGAGGAGGAAGAGGCUGCUGCCGCGUCGGUAGCUGCUCCUGCUGCGAAUCUUUCAGCUCCCUGGGCCGAGUGCGUGCCCAGCUUCGGGACUGCGGGAGCCGAAAGAAGACAGCUGCCAUCUCAGAAUGGACUGAAUCUUGGAGGAAAACCUGAAAGAGCCUUCCUUCAUUUGGUCAUUCAGCAAGUUUUUGUGAGUUCAUAUGUGUGAGACACUGAGUAUGCAGAGACCUACCAGUCUAAUUUAGAUUUGUUUGGUCCUCAAACUGCUUGCCACCUGGAGAGAGAGAAAGAAAAUAUAUAAUAAUGAAACAAGGAAAAAGACAGGACAGAUAAGCUCCUGCUUGGAUUACAGUGAAGAGAAAGAUAAAUAACCUCAAAUGCUGUUCUUGGAGAAUUUUUUAAUACUACGCAGACGAUAUGGGCCCACUAGGAGAGAGUAUUUAGUGACUAGAAAAUUUUGGCAUCCCAAGGUAGGCCUUGUAAUGAGAAAUAUAAAUACCGUUGGAUGUUUAUACCUGUGCCAAGUUUUCCACUGCAUUGUAAUCUCUUUGAAAACAGGACUCCAUAGAGUCUUGAAAUAUUUUUAAUGCUUAUAGGAGUAUCUGAAAUUCUCUAAGGAACUCUUUGAUCAAUUUAUUUUGGUAAAAGAAAAUUUUAAAAGACUCAGCCAUCAUUUUCACAGCCGGGUUUAUCCAAGUCUACAAUAGCGAUUAAAAAUUCCAUCAUAUAUAUUAAACACUGUCUAGCAGUGUGCUAGACAUCAUGGGCCAUACCAAAGAAGUGUGAAACUUGGUCCCUGAUCUCCGAAGCCCACAAUUUAGAUGAAGAUAGAAAACAAUCAAGGGCUUCUUAUGCUCAAAUGAAGAGGCGAUAGAACAAUGUGGGUGGAAGUAGUCAGAAAAUGCCUCAUGAGGAACUUAAAUUAAGCUUUGAAACAGGAGCAGGAUUUAGAAGGACUAUAUUCUAUACCAGUGCCUUAUCUGCCUGCCCCAAACAUUGUCUUAAAAUAACCAAUCCACCAUCGGGGCUCUUUCUGGCAAGCUGAGAAUUUAGAGAAGAAGCCGAAGUGAAAAUAUUUUGUUUCUACAGCAUCUCAAGAACAGCUGGUAGUAGGGUCUUUACAUUCACAUGACAGAGGGGAUGAGAAUGAAUAGCAAGUGUAGCCAGUUCCUCUAUCCAGCGACACAAGCAAAGUCAAAGAGAAUAGAAAUAAGACAAUUAUUACAAUUUGGUUAUCUGGUGGCUGAAUUCUAUGACUCAUAUGAAGUAAUCACCUAACUCCUGAGUUUGGCAGGUCUUUACUGGGCUGAUAACCCCGAAAAAAGAAAAAGAAAAAGAAAAAAAAUCUGAGUGACAUCAGCAGUAAGCUAUGCUCCAUGUGGCUGCUUUGAUAAGAGUUAGUUUUCUCUCAGUCUUGAGAACAUUUUUAUGAUUAAUGGAAGACAGAAUAUUAUCCAACAUUAGUAGUUCUUUUCCAAUUCAGUAUUUGAAAAAUCCUUUAUGAUAAAUGAAAAAUCCUCUAUCUCUUCAAAUUAAUUAGGCUUUGAAAGUCUACAACAUAUAAAAGAAAGCACUGGAGAUCUGACAGAGGUGAGGGAGAAUACCAGGAUAAAAUAUAAUAAUUCCUUUUCUUAAAGAUAUUGUACUCUGGCAUGGAAGGUAUAUCCAGAGAGCACAGAGCCUCCUAAAGGGGAGGUGAGGUUGGUAAAUGAGCAUUGCAGGGAGAAGCAUACAGAACACGGGACUAAGGAAGUUUAGCUAGCUUCAGGGUUCUAAAUUGGAAUGUUACUCUAAUAGUACAUAUAACUUUUACAGCUUGUCUCAGCCUCAUGGUUCAAAUUUGUUCUAAAGAAGCAUCAGAUAAGAAGAAAAGAGCAAAAGUCAAUGAGUGAAAGCCACUCAUAAUUUUGCAUUCUCAAGAAGUUUGCCAAAAUUCCCCUGGUUCAGCUAUGUAUGAUUGAGCAUGUUGCCGUGAUGAAGGAUUUUUAUUUAUUUAUUUUUGGUCAAGUAGUUCACCAUGUUUUUUUUGACCUUUACAAUCUCCUGGUUGCACAGAUUUAAAAUGAGUUUUCCUUGAGCCUGGGACAAAUUCUUAGAAUGACCCCUGAGAAUGAGCUCAGUGGUGAAAAUUCUGAGGACAGGAUGAGAUGAGUUGGAUAUUGUCCAUGUGUUUGGAAUAAUGUAGUUUGACCUAGAAAUCCAAACUGCAAUUGUGCAAGGCCGGCUGAGCACUUCUAAGUCAAUCCCCUGUCAUGGUCCCAGUCUGCAAUAGUCACAACUAGUUACUAUGUUUUCUCACCACCCACUUUGCUGACUGCCCCCUCUGCCUUAACUAUACAGUGCCUGUUCGUUAUCAGCCAAGUGCUGUGAAGGUGACCUUCGAGCCUUUUCUCCUCCUGAAAACACCAAUCCCUGCAGCAGGAUGGCUGACAUCCUCAGUUGAUCUGUCUUCUGGGAAGUUGUCCAAAAAUUUCUUUGAAAAUUUCUCAUGCAUCCCAUUUAAAGAAAAAAUAUAUGCUCUCAUCUGGGUCACAUAUGGGAAUGUUCCAUAGAGAAGCCAGGAAGUUAUUGACUCUUGUCCUUUUCCUAUUCAUAAAAAGAAAGUGACUUCUAAGAAAAUAUUUGCCCCAAAGCCAGGCUAAAAGUCCAAAAUUAAAGCAAAAUUAAAGCUCCUCUGCUCCGGUGAAGUGGCCUAAAUAAAGCCCUGAUGCAUUCUGCUAGUGAGUGAGACACUUGCUGGCAUCCCUGGGAGGAUUCAGUCUGUGUUCCCUCACCCUGCUGAAAUCUGGGCAAGAGGUUUCCUGGUGCUGUUAAAGUGGAUGGUUUCUGAGGUUCCUCGUGGUGAACCAUUCCUUUUCUUGGGUUUGAAGUAACCCAGGUCUAAUACCAGCCAGACCUUAAUUUCCCCUUUUUUUUCUAAGCAGCUAUUUUUUUUUUCUUGGCCUAAUAUAAGACCAUCUGUUGAUUAUAAUACACAUUGAUUACUGGACUUCAUUCUCCACUAAACUGAGAGUAGAAGCUGAUAUAUCUCUGUGGUUUAUUAAGAUUUUGAAAAAAAAAUCAAAGUAAGUUGUAAAAGAAUGAGACUCAGAAUAUUUUAGAGCUCAAGACUAAAGAGAUGGGUGUUAGAAAGAGCACUGGACAUGGAGUCUUCUCUUGGGUUCUACUGUGGCUCCUCAGGCUGAGACCCAGGGCAAGCCACUGACAGUCUUGGCAGGUGUUCCUUUUCCAAUUUGCUUACUCUGUCUUUCCUGGACUAUAUAAAAAGAUGGAUAUAGUCUAUGUUUCAGAGUCUCAGACCCCAUUUAAUUUCAUUCAUUUAUUUGUCAUAGAACAAAAUUUUAUUCUGUGCCCAGUAUAUGUAGAACACUGUAGGGGUUUGUGGGGAUGCAUGAGUCCAUGUGAUUGAUGUGGCCUUUGUCCUCAUGCAGCUGACAGUCUCUCGGCUUCCUCCAGAGGGUGUGAGCAUUGGGCAUAAUGAAUUGAUAAGGACUAUAACAAACCAAACUUCAAGUCUGCUUCACAACACCAUCCUCAAUGGCCUUGUUCCUGAAUCCUAUGUACCAUCCUUCCUUAUAUCCAAUUCACUAUCUCCAUCACAUUUUUGUUUUGGGAACAUAUAAAGGCAGUAGGACACUUGCGCUUAAGAAGUUCAAAUUUUUAAAACUUAAAACUAGAGACAAGUUAAUGUAGCGGGAUAUGUGAGCACAUAUGGGGUCUAGCAGAAUCUUCUAAGACAGGUUAUUUACAUGGCUCGAAACCUUCAACUCCAAUGUGCUCUAUAAUAGCUGAAUAUAACCUGCUUACCUUAUGAGAAAGGGUAGUAAAAUAAUAAAAUGUGCUUUACCUUAUUCCAAAAUUGAGGGACAAAGGUAAUUGGGUCUUAAAUUGAUAAAGGAGAAAGUCGGUUAAAAUGGGGAAAAUAUUUUAGAGAAAUUACCACCCGAUGAGUGAAUUAAAGAACUUAGGACUUCAGAGGAAGCAUGCUGUGUUAGUGAGUAGAACAGAUUUUAGUGGCUUACAAAGACCUCAGUGUAGGUGGGGAACUUACAGAUAGCUUGAUAACAAGGAAAGAUGAGGGGGAAUUAUACCGAAGGAUGAAAAUAGAUGUGUGGGGGGUGGAAAUUUUGCAAUUAUUUCAUUUUCAUCUUUCAGUGCACUCAAUUGUCAGAAUUUUGGGAUUUAUUUUAUUUAUCAAUUCAAUAAACAGAUAUAUUUUGCUAUUCAGGGUCCCCAAGGACAAAAAAGGGUGCAUGUAUUAUAACAAAUGCAAUCACAAAGCAAAUAAUUUGUAUUUAUAAACUCCUUUACAUUUCAUAGAAAUCACUCAAAUAAUGUAUUAUAGCCAUUUCUAGCCUAUAUGCUUGUACCUCAAUACUUUGUAUACCUAAGAAGUGAUAUACUCUUUUUUGAUAUAUACAUAAAUUCUUUAUUGCAACAUGAUUCAUAAUCACAAAAUAUUGGAAGCAUACUAAAUACCCAAAUAAAGGAGAGUGGUUGAAUAAACUACAAUACAUACACACAGUACAGUACUAUACAGGUAUAAGAAAAAGAACAAGGAUUAUCUAUACGAACUGAUGUGGAGCAUUUCUUGGGAUUUAUUUUUAGGCAGAGAAAUACAACUUUUAACAACUGACAUCCAUAUCAGUGCAGCUUUUUGUUAAUCUAAUCCAGAACAUCAAGAAAUGAUAUAAUCUAUUAGCAGUCCCUAGGCUUGCUGAGUUACUCUGUUAAACCUCAUGCAGCUCAGGCAUCAUUCAGAGGCCCACUAAGUUGACAGAUGAUGACUGCUUAACUGUAGACCCCUCAUGUCCUCUGGAGGAAUGCUGUGGGACUACAUGUAUCAGGAGGGCAGAGUCUACAUUCAUCACAUGGACUAGUGUAUCUCCAACAACUGGUUCAAUGUUUUGCCUAGUAAUUAUCCCUUCUGUGCCUAAUAGGCACAGAAUAAAUAUUUUUUCAAUGAUGAAUGAAUGAACAAAACGAAAUGAGGUCUGAGACUCCUAAAACAUGCAUCUUGUCUUGGAUAUUCCAAAGUCAUUUUAGGAUUUAACCCCUAGCUCCAUCUACUUUAGGUCUCACAGUUUAACUUUGUUUUUACUUGAUUAAAGAACCAACACGUAUAGAAGACCAGGGUUUGGGAGUGGGAAGGAAUAUAUGGGGGAAUUAGGGAUGACAAAGGAAUGAUAUUUAAGUAGCAACAUUUUCCAAAGUUAGUUAAAAAAUUACUCAUUACAAAAUUAUUUUUUAUAUUUGUCGUGGUUUUGGAUGUCUUCAUUUCCUCCAUCUGGUAGCAUCCACAUCCACAUUGGCAUGGACCACUGUCCCCAACUUGGGUGUUUUGUGACUUUGCAGUGCCAUACUAUCAUGAGAUUUCCUGCAUAUUUCUUGACCAUAGGAUUGGAUUCGGAGAUGCUGGAGUCAACCAUGAUGAUUAAUAUCAAAUAACAGGCCAAUGUGAGGACAUGUGAUCAGAAAAUCAUGACUACCUUUAGAAAUAGCUACCUAAAUAGAGCUUGGAUUCUGGAGCAAGACUACCUGGGUUCAAAUCUUGGCUUUGCCCUCAUGUACUGUUUGAACUUUGUAAAGUUACUUAAUUUCUCUGUGCCUUACUUUUCUACUUGAGGAAUGGGUUAUGGUGUGAAUAGAAUUAAUAAUGUGGUUAGGGCAAUUUCAGGCACAUAAUAAGUCCCAUGAUGAUCUCAGGUAAGUCAAUAACCUGCUCUGUGUUUAGAAUUUCUACCCAUAAAGUGAGAGGCUUUUAUUAGAUUAUCUCUAAGGUCUUUGUCUUGCUCCAUUUGUCUUGCUACAAAGGAAUACCUGAAGCUAGGUAAUUUAUUUAUUUAUUAUUUUUUUGAGACAGAGCCUUGCUAUGU